rnacentral:lncRNA from 1 species
AAAACUGAAAUGACUAUGAAUACGGAGUUUUAGAAUCCUGACAGAAUACCUGAAAGUAAUGAUGUUCAACAUCCAAAUGGCACAAGGACCCUGGGAAUCAAUUCUGAGCCACCUAAAGAAGUUAAAUUGGGCUAUUUGAAAAGAAUACAAAUUUUAUACCUUAUGCUGAUUUUUAAUGGUGGGAUAGGAUGAUAGGUGAUAGGAAAUUAUGAGAAAUGGGAGAAGCUCCUCCAAGUCCAACAGCCUUGAGGAAUAGCUUGUGAGACAGUUUGUUGCUGAUCAACCCUGAACUUCCCCCAAGGGUUCUGCUUUGUAGAGACAAGGCCCCAGGGCAACUGCAGUGUGGUAAAGGGGGACUGGGGUUUAUUGCUGCUGUAUCUGGGAGAAGCAAUUGCUAUUCUUGAAGAAGAAAAGGUGGAGAAGAAGAGCGGCUAUCAGCCUGUCAGUGACAUCACAUUCUGUGAAGUCUUAUCUUUCUUUUGUGACACAGUGGGUCUUCCAUCUGUCCUAAAACUGGCAGCCUCAUUGAUGAUCAGAAAAUGUCUCCCAUAUGAUAGUAAGUUUGGAGUGAUUAGCAGGAUAGAAUCCAUUCC